rfam:Aedes aegypti strain Liverpool supercont1.41 genomic scaffold, whole genome shotgun sequence.
GCCGCUAGACACGUCCUUUUGAUGAUGGCAACACAAGUACUGACAACCCAAGUGAAUGGGAAUUGCCCCGUUCUUCCAGGUCAUCGUUGGCGGAAUGGUGUUCUUCUAUGGGUUCAUUCAAAUAUUAACGUAAAAAUUGUCAAUUUUAGACCCCCAGUAUCCCCAG